rnacentral:rRNA from 1 species
UACGUAGGGUGCAAGCGUUGUCCGGAAUUAUUGGGCGUAAAGAGCUCGUAGGCGGUUUGUCGCGUCUGCUGUGAAAACUCGGGGCUUAACCCCGGGCCUGCAGUGGGUACGGGCAGACUAGAGUGCGGUAGGGGAGACUGGAAUUCCUGGUGUAGCGGUGAAAUGCGCAGAUAUCAGGAGGAACACCGGCGGCGAAGGCGGUUCUCUGGGCAUGUCCUGACGCUGAGGAGCGAAAGCGUGGGGAGCGAACAGG